AAGCAAUUCUCUCUGAAUCUGCGAACGGCUCCGCACACCAGUUGUAAACUAUAGCAAGCAUGCCCGGUACCCCUUCACGGGGGUGCUGGGUGAUACGGAUAACCCUGGUAAUUCUGAGGCUAAUACGAGAACGUAAUCCCCGGCCGACCGGGUAACUGGGAAGCUGGGAGACGUGCGAGUUGUGUCGCGGGAAAACACCGGGAAUGGACGCACGUCUGGACCGCGCCAAAAACAGAUGGGUGACCUGGUCUUCACGGGUUGGGUUGCCUGCCUGAGCGGCUCUUGCUGUGUGCUUCUGACCUAUCAACUAGACGGCAGCGUAAUGGACAUGCUAUGGUUACAACGGGUACAGAGGAUUAGGGUUCGAUCCUGGAGAGUGGGCCUGAGAGAUUGCUCAUACUUCUAAGGAAGGCAGCAGGCGCGCAACGUUCCCCUUGUGCAAUGCAUGAGGGCGUUAGGGGACAUAUGAAUGCCUGCCCAAUGGGUGGGCAAUUCAAA
rnacentral:rRNA from 1 species